AUGUCGGCAGCAGCAGCGGCAGGCGGCAGCGCGCCACGGCCAGCCUUCCUCCUCGCGCUGGCGCUGGCGGUGGCGCUGGCGCUCUCGCCGUCGCCGGCGCGGGCCGGGUUCAGCUGCAGCCCCGGCGCGCGGCCGGUGGUGUUCAACUUCGGCGACUCCAACUCCGACACGGGCGGCAUGGCGGCGGCCAAGGGGUGGCACAUCGCGCCGCCGGAGGGCCGCGCCUUCUUCCACCACCCCACCGGCCGCUUCUGCNNNNNNNNNNNNNNNNNNNNNNNNNNNNGUGAAAGCUUAAACAUAAGCUAUCUGAGCCCUUAUCUGAAGGCAAUUGGUUCUAAUUACAGUAACGGAGUGAAUUUCGCUAUUAGCGGUUCAACAACACUACCACGGGAAGCCCUUUUUGUAUUGCAUGGACAGGUGCAGGAAUUCUUCUUCUUUAAAGCCAGAUCCUUGGAGCUCAUCAAUCAAGGUCAGGAAGCUCCAAUCGAUGCAGAAGCGUUCCAAAAUGCUCUAUAUAUCAUAGACAUAGGACAGAAUGAUAUUAACGCUCUUCUGUCCAACUUGCCUUACGACCAAGUAGUCGCCAAGCUCCCUCCAAUACUUGCGGAGAUUAAGUAUGCUGUUCAGCUUCUGUACGGCAACGGGAGUCGGAACUUCUGGAUACAUGGAACAGGGGCUCUUGGUUGCCUGCCUCAGAAGCUCUCGAUUCCACGUAAAAACGACAGUGACCUUGAUCAGAAUGGCUGCCUCAACACAUACAACAGAGCUGCGGUCGCGUUCAACACAGCGCUAGGCAGCCUCUGCGAUCAGCUGAAUGUAGAGCUGAAGAACGCGGCCGUUGUGUACACCGAUCUCUUUGCCAUCAAGUAUGACCUUGUGGCCAACCACACCAAAUACGGUUUUGACAGCCCAUUGAUGACGUGUUGCGGGUACGGAGGGCCACCGUACAACUAUGAUUUGAGCAGGAGCUGCCAGUCUUCGAAUUCAACGGUCUGCGCCGACGGCUCAAAGUUCAUCAGCUGGGACGGCGUGCACCUCACCGAGGCCGCCAACGCCGUCGUGGCUGCGGCCAUACUGAGCUCCGCAUAUUCCAGACCAAAGAUCAAGUUUGAUCAGUUCUGCAAAGCCCGAUAG
rnacentral:rRNA from 1 species